AGUAAGCACUCAGGUUACCCAAAUAUAUGUUCAAAAACACUGUAAAAUUGAAUUUUUCAUGAUAUGUCUACUUUAAUGAAAAUUUGUGUUGGUAAAAAGAAGUUUGCAAAUAUAUUAUGAAUCCCUAUGAAUGCUUUCACAUUUUAUGAAAAACACAAUAGAAACAGCAUUAUCUUUGGUACAAUUUAUAUGUAGUAAGUAGAGUGUAACAAUAUACAUGUCCAACAGCAGUGUUGUUCUAUUUAUAAUCCAAGAAAAAUUUGUAAAAAACUUGCUGUUGCAUGUUUAUAUUUUCACAAAACAUCUUUCUUCUCCUCUCUUUAUGUUCUCUGUGUGAUCGACCUGUUGUCCAGAUAUAAUAUGUGCUGUAAUUUCUUCAUGUCUCUAGUUUGCGGAACAUGCCUGUGGAAAUGCUAAAUGGAUACGUCGAAAAUCCGUUUAAUCCCAAUAGUACAUUCGGGAAAGUCGAGUUACCAGAACUGAAGUUCCCCAGAGUAAGAUACCUGAAUGUUAUUCUAGUCAUCAGACACAAAUAUGAAGAUCAGAUCAAGGAGUGCACCUCAGAUACAAAUAAAGGCUGUGGAACCUGUCUGGUUAAACUGCAAGGCUUAAAAUGAAAUGAACAAGAAAUCUUCUAAUUGUUGAUUUUUUUGGGAUUAUUACCUCAUCUUUGACCAGAGUACUAUCUGAUCUGAUGUAGCAGAAUUACUUCACUUUUUGCAUGCACCCUCACGUUUUCUUUUUCACUGUGAGAAGUUUUUUAGGGGAAUUUUUCCUUAUCCAAAUUGACACUCUCUGAAAAGAGGAUGUGAUAUGCUGCUCUUGUUAGUCAGAGCUGCUUUUUGAUAACUAAAAUGCAGAGCACAGAGUCAGAGGCAGGGAUUAGGUGCAGAUGAAACUUGAAUUUGUCUUGGUCAUGGGUAUGCAUAGGAAAAGCCACGGGCAGGAAAUGGAGCUGAGCAAGGCAGGUGAGUUUGCAGGGGGGAAGGCCAGUUAGUUUGAGUCCAGAAUGUGUGCUGAUUCGAUUUUAAUCCAGUUGACGUAGGAGUGAGAUGGCGGCAGGAGUUGAGCGGAAGGUAACUUUAGGCAAAGGUGAACAAGUGUGAGUAAUUUGCAUGAAAAAGGAAAUGGAUUUUAAAAAUUGGCUGGACCAAGUCUGACUGCGAUUACAGAGUCUACAAUCUGGCAGAGUGGUGGAGUUGAAGCCCAGUAUUUGAAGCAGAGUUGCUUGGUUUGCAGCUGCAGUCCAACUCCUGCAUCAAGCACACUCACACACACACAUUCACACACACACACACGCACGCACACAGGCACGAUUCCUAAGUGUGAUUAUUGAUUAUUUGAAAGCAUUGUGAUGUCAUUUUGAGGAGUAAAUAUGCCAAGGAAUGUCCGAAUGGUUCUUUUCUUUUCUGUGAUUGUGAGUAGUUUGUUUUAGUGAUUUUUAAAUGUUCCAUUUUAAUGUUUCUUUUUUCCUCUGUCAUGAUGCUUUUGAUGUCUUAUUUGAAGCACUUUGAAUUGCCUUGUUGUUGAUGAAAUGUGCUAUAUAAAUAUAUUAGCCUUGCCUACUGUGUACAAAGAUGAGGACAGGGAUAUGUCUCUUUCGAGUUAUGAAGUUCAUCAUUAAAGAACCAGAUAAUCUUA